AGCAAAGAAAGUGGAAAGAGAGUGGGAACAUAUUGAUGAUGAAAAGUGGGAACCAACCCAUGUGGGUGGAGGUGGUAUGUAGGGUAUUUAAACAGUUAAUUAAAAGGAAGAGAGAGAGUAGAUGUGCCAAGAGAGAACCAGCCUCCCCUCAUGCAUGUGUAUCUCUAUGUCUUAUCCCUUGCUGGGUCUGUGUGUGUAUCAACCGUGUGUGUAGCCGUUCCUCCACUUCCCUCACUUUCUCUCUCCUCCCUCAUCCAAGAGACAGAUGUAUUAUAAUAGUUGAAGGAGACCAAGAAUCAACAGAGAAAAAUACAGAGGAGGGUUGUGGUGGUGAACACGUUGUUGUCUUCGCUGGAGAAGAAAGAUGAGUGCUUCGAGGUUCAUCAAGUGCGUCGCCGUUGGCGAUGGAGCUGUUGGCAAGACUUGCAUGCUUAUCUCCUAUACCAGCAACACCUUUCCCACUGAUUAUGUGCCGGCUGAUUGGAGCUGAAAAAGCUGAAGGGAGCUGCGGUUUACAUUGAAUGCAAUUUGUUCCUGAUGUCAAUCAUCAUUUUCGAUCAAAGGUGGUCACAGAUCUGAGAUCGGCUGUGGCCACAAAUGAUAGAGAAUCACAUACGUCAACUAGGUGUCAAACCUUAGUUGAAAAAGAGGAUCUACUCCAUCUGAUGGUGGAGGAUGAAGGCAACACAGAUCUGAAAUCGAAAGCGACGCGACAACAGAAUGAUUGCUGAAGCUGCUGCCAUGGUGAGGAAGGUGGUGGCACCGGCACGGAGCUCCGUUGUGAAGGUGGUGAAGAAGAUUCUAGCGGACUAGGUUGAGGUCCGGCGGGCGGCCAAGGCGAGGUUGCCGCCCGC